AUCACCUGAGAAUCUUGUUAAAUCCAGAUUCUGAUUCAGCAUCUUGUGGCAGAGCCAGAGAUUCUGGAUUUCCAGUAAGUUCUUAGGUGCUGCUGA
rnacentral:pre_miRNA from 1 species